rnacentral:rRNA from 1 species
AUUGAACGCUGGCGGCGUGCCUAACACAUGCAAGUCGAGCGGUAACAGGUGUAGCAAUACAUGCUGACGAGCGGCGAACGGGUGAGUAAUGCUUUGGAAUCUUCCCAGUAGUGGGGAAUAACCAGUCGAAAGAUUGGCUAAUACCGCAUACGUCUGUAAAGGGAAAGCGGGGGGACUCGCCUCUUCUUCGGAAGAGAGGCCUCGCGCUAUUGGAUGAGCCAAAGUCGGAUUAGCUAGUUGGUGGGGUAAUGGCCCACCAAGGCGACAAUCCGUAGCUGGUCUGAGAGGACGACCAGCCACACCGGAACUGAGACACGGUCCGACUCCUACGGGAGGCAGCAGUGGGGAAUAUUGACAAUGGGGAAACCCUGAUCCAGCGACGCCGC